UACGUAGGGGGCAAGCGUUGUCCGGAAUCAUUGGGCGUAAAGAGCGUGUAGGCGGCCCGAUAAGUCCGCUGUGAAAGUCCAGGGCUCAACCCUGGAAUGCCGGUGGAUACUGUCGGGCUCGAGUCCGGAAGAGGCGAGUGGAAUUCCGUGGUGUAGCGGUGAAAUGCGCAGAUAUCUGGAGGAACACCGGUGGCGAAGGCGGCAUCCUGGACCAACACUGACACUGAUGAGCGAAAGCCAGGGGAGCAAACGGG
rnacentral:rRNA from 1 species